CUCAAGUGAUGAUUAUUGGAGGUAGAGCACUGUUUGGACGAGGGGCCCCUCUCGGGUUACCGAAUUCAGACAAACUCCGAAUGCCAAUUAAUUUAACUUGGGAGUCAGAACAUGGGUGAUAAGGUCCGUGUUCGAAAGGGAAACAGCCCAGACCACCAGCUAAGGUCCCAAAAUAUAUGUUAAGUGGAAAAGGAUGUGGCGUUGCCCAGACAACUAGGAUGUUGGCUUAGAAGCAGCCAUCAUUUAAAGAGUGCGUAAUAGCUCACUAGUCGAGUGACACUGCGCCGAAAAUGUACCGGGGCUAAACAUAUUACCGAAGCUGUGGAUUGUCCUUUGGACAAUGGUAGGAGAGCGUUCUAAGGGCGUUGAAGCAUGAUCGUAAGGACAUGUGGAGCGCUUAGAAGUGAGAAUGCCGGUGUGAGUAGCGAAAGACGGGUGAGAAUCCCGUCCACCGAUUGACUAAGGUUUCCAGAGGAAGGCUCGUCCGCUCUGGGUUAGUCGGGUCCUAAGCUGAGGCCGACAGGCGUAGGCGAUGGAUAACAGGUUGAUAUUCCUGUACCACCUAUAAUCGUUUUAAUCGAUGGGGGGACGCAGUAGGAUAGGCGAAGCGUGCGAUUGGAUUGCACGUCUAAGCAGUAAGGCUGAGUAUUAGGCAAAUCCGGUACUCGUUAAGGCUGAGCUGUGAUGGGGAGAAGACAUUGUGUCUUCGAGUCGUUGAUUUCACACUGCCGAGAAAAGCCUCUAGAUAGAAAAUAGGUGCCCGUACCGCAAACCGACACAGGUAGUCAAGAUGAGAAUUCUAAGGUGAGCGAGCGAACUCUCGUUAAGGAACUCGGCAAAAUGACCCCGUAACUUCGGGAGAAGGGGUGCUCUUUAGGGUUAACGCCCAGAAGAGCCGCAGUGAAUAGGCCCAAGCGACUGUUUAUCAAAAACACAGGUCUCUGCUAAACCGUAAGGUGAUGUAUAGGGGCUGACGCCUGCCCGGUGCUGGAAGGUUAAGAGGAGUGGUUAGCUUCUGCGAAGCUACGAAUCGAAGCCCCAGUAAACGGCGGCCGUAACUAUAACGGUCCUAAGGUAGCGAAAUUCCUUGUCGGGUAAGUUCCGACCCGCACGAAAGGCGUAACGAUUUGGGCACUGUCUCAACGAGAGACUCGGUGAAAUCAUAGUACCUGUGAAGAUGCAGGUUACCCGCGACAGGACGGAAAGACCCCGUGGAGCUUUACUGUAGCCUGAUAUUGAAAUUCGGCACAGCUUGUACAGGAUAGGUAGGAGCCUUUGAAACGUGAGCGCUAGCUUACGUGGAGGCGCUGGUGGGAUACUACCCUAGCUGUGUUGGCUUUCUAACCCGCACCACUUAUCGUGGUGGGAGACAGUGUCAGGCGGGCAGUUUGACUGGGGCGGUCGCCUCCUAAAAGGUAACGGAGGCGCUCAAAGGUUCCCUCAGAAUGGUUGGAAAUCAUUCAUAGAGUGUAAAGGCAUAAGGGAGCUUGACUGCGAGACCUACAAGUCGAGCAGGGUCGAAAGACGGACUUAGUGAUCCGGUGGUUCCGCAUGGAAGGGCCAUCGCUCAACGGAUAAAAGCUACCCCGGGGAUAACAGGCUUAUCUCCCCCAAGAGUUCACAUCGACGGGGAGGUUUGGCACCUCGAUGUCGGCUCAUCGCAUCCUGGGGCUGUAGUCGGUCCCAAGGGUUGGGCUGUUCGCCCAUUAAAGCGGUACGCGAGCUGGGUUCAGAACGUCGUGAGACAGUUCGGUCCCUAUCCGUCGUGGGCGUAGGAAAUUUGAGAGGAGCUGUCCUUAGUACGAGAGGACCGGGAUGGACAUACCUCUGGUGUACCAGUUGUCGUGCCAACGGCAUAGCUGGGUAGCUAUGUGUGGACGGGAUAAGUGCUGAAAGCAUCUAAGCAUGAAGCCCCCCUCAAGAUGAGAUUUCCCAACUUCGGUUAUAAGAUCCCUCAAAGAUGAUGAGGUUAAUAGGUUCGAGGUGGAAGCAUGGUGACAUGUGGAGCUGACGAAUACUAAUCGAUCGAAGACUUAAUCAA
rnacentral:rRNA from 1 species